GACGUAGGGGCGCGAGCGUUUGUCCGGAUUUAUUGGGCGUAAAGAGCUCGUAGGCGGUUUGUCGCGUCUGCUGUGAAAAACCCAAGGCUCAACCUCGGGCCUGCAGUGGGUACGGGCAGACUAGAGUGGCGGUAGGGGAGAUUGGAAUUCCUGGUGUAGCGGUGGAAUGCGCAGAUAUCAGGAGGAACACCAAUGGCGAAGGCAGAUCUCUGGGCCGUAACUGACGCUGAGGAGCGAAAGCAUGGGGAGCGAACAGG
rnacentral:rRNA from 1 species